GGAGUUAGCCGGUGCUUCUUCUGUGAGUGAUGUCCUUCCUGCCGGCUAUUAACCCGCAGGCCUUCUUCCUCACUGAAAGUGCUUUACAACCCGAAGGCCUUCUUCACACACGCGGCAUGGCUGGAUCAGGGUUGCCCCCAUUGUCCAAUAUUCCCCACUGCUGCCUCCCGUAGGAGUCUGGGCCGUGUCUCAGUCCCAGUGUGGCUGAUCAUCCUCUCAGACCAGCUACGGAUCGUCGCCUUGGUGAGCCGUUACCUCACCAACCAGCUAAUCCGACAUAGGCUCAUCCGAUAGCGCGAGGCCCGAAGGUCCCCCGCUUUCCCCCGUAGGGCGUACUGCGGUAUUAGCCUGGGUUUCCCCAGGUUAUCCCCCACUACCGGGCAGAUUCCUAUGCAUUACUCACCCGUCCGCCGCUCGCCACCAGGGAGCAAGCUCCCCGUGCUGCCGCUCGACUUGCAUGUGUUAGGCCUGCCGCCAGCGUUCAAUCUGAGCCAUGAUCAAACUCUGA
rnacentral:rRNA from 1 species